rnacentral:misc_RNA from 1 species
AACUUGCUCAAGGCUUCUCACCUUAUCUUGGAUGCUCCUGAUCAUGUUAUUGAUUCUUCAGUCCUCCUAAGCUUUAGCAAUGGCAAUGGCCACCACAACAACCACCCCACUAACAGACAAGAUGCUCCCUUUUUCUCAACUUUCCAAUCAAUAAAGCAAGAGUGCAAGGACGGAUUCCCACACGAUCAUAAUAAUCAUCUCACCUACAACCAAUCAUCUUCUUCCGAUUAUCUUGUCUCUCCUGAUGAUCAUGCGUCAAAGUUUGAUCCUGCGGAUGUGAUUUCUGGGGUGAACUCGUCUUGUACCGCCACAAGCACUACUACCCAUCACAGUUUGGACAUGGAUAUGAUUAUGACAUCAGUUGAUAGCCAAUUUGAUGAUAUUUUGGAAUUUGAAUGCUUCGAUGGCUAGCUAUAUAUAUGCUGUUGUACCUUUUCUUUUUGGAAUAAUUUUCCAUGUAGAAAUAGUUCUAAUUAUCAAGUUAAUCAGCUUCUUAAUUAGAUAUAGGUGUGUGCUUGUAAAUUAAAGCUCCUUUUUAUUAAUUGUACCAAAAAAAAAAACUCCUUUUCAAUUAAUGUAACGUAGAACCUUGUUCCUGUACAUAUUAAUUGAGGUACUUUUGUUGGUG